rnacentral:rRNA from 1 species
AUUGAACGCUGGCGGCAGGCCUAACACAUGCAAGUCGAGCGGAUGAAGGGAGCUUGCUCCUGGAUUCAGCGGCGGACGGGUGAGUAAUGCCUAGGAAUCUGCCUGGUAGUGGGGGAUAACGUCCGGAAACGGGCGCUAAUACCGCAUACGUCCUGAGGGAGAAAGUGGGGGAUCUUCGGACCUCACGCUAUCAGAUGAGCCUAGGUCGGAUUAGCUAGUUGGUUGGGUAAAGGCCUACCAAGGCGACGAUCCGUAACUGGUCUGAGAGGAUGAUCAGCCACACUGGAACUGAGACACGGUCCAGACUCCUACGGGAGGCAGCAGUGGGGAAUAUUGGACAAUGGGCGAAAGCCUGAUCCAGCCAUGCCGCGUGUGUGAAGAAGGUCUUCGGAUUGUAAAGCACUUUAAGUUGGGAGGAAGGGCAGUAAGUUAAUACCUUGCUGUUUUGACGUUACCAACAGAAUAAGCACCGGCUAACUUCGUG